GAUGAAGAACGUAGCGAAAUGCGAUAAGUAGUGUGAAUUGCAGAAUUCAGUGAAUCAUCGAAUCUUUGAACGCACAUUGCGCCCUUUGGUAUUCCUUAGGGCAUGCCUGUUCGAGCGUCAUUUAAACCUUCAAGCUAAGCUUGGUGUUGGGUGACUGUCCGCUUCACGGCGGACUCGCCUCAAAAUUAUUGGCGGCCGGUACAUUGGCUUCGAGCGCAGCAGAAACGCGAACUCGGGCCCGUCGUAUUGGCUCCCAGAAGCUAUCUUCACAAUUUUGACCUCGGAUCAGGUAGGGAUACCCGCUGAACUUAAGCAUAUCAUAAGCGGAGGA
rnacentral:misc_RNA from 1 species